UUCAGGGAGGUAGUGACAAGAAAUAACAACACUGGAAAUUUCAUUUCUAGUGAUUGGAAUGAUGGGAAUCCAAACCCCUUUCAGAGUAACAAUUGGAGGGCAAGUCUGGUGCCAGCAGCCGCGGUAAUUCCAGCUCCAAUAGCGUAUAUUAAAGUUGUUGCAGUUAAAAAGCUCGUAGUUGGAUAUCUGUUAGAAGCAGCCAGUCCGCUCUUUAAUGGGUGUGCACAUGGUCAAUUCUGACAUUGUUAUUCUGCGUAUACAUGCUCUUCUUCUGCUCCUUUGUUGUGGGCGGGGGGAGUGUUGUGUAUUGUGGAAUACUGUUACUUUGAGAAAAUUAGAGUGUUUCAAGCAGGCUUUUGUUGCUUUGAAUACUGCAGCAUGGAAUAACAAGAUAGGAUUUCGGUUCUAUUUUUCUUCUUGUUGGUUUCUAGGACUGAAGUAAUGAUUAAUAGGGACAGUUGGGGGCAUUCGUAUUUAACUGUCAGAGGUGAAAUUCUUAGAUUUGUUAAAGACGAACUACUGCGAAAGCAUUUGCCAAGGAUGUUUUCAUUAAUCAAGAACGAAAGUUAGGGGCUCGAAGACGAUCAGAUACCGUCGUAGUCUUAACCAUAAACUAUGCCGACUAGAGAUAGGAAAAUGUCAUUGUUGACUU
rnacentral:rRNA from 1 species